rnacentral:rRNA from 1 species
ACACGGCAUGCUCAGUACGGCGAGUGAGCGGCAAAAGCUCAAAUUUGGAAUCUCAGUCUUUCAGGCUGCGAGUUGUAAUUUGAAGACGUAUUUUGAAGUAAGCACAUGUCGAAGUUCCUUGGAACAGGACGUCACAGAGGGUGAGAAUCCCGUGCGAUGUGUUCACUGCUUCAUGUAAAAUGCAGUCGAAGAGUCGAGUUGUUUGGGAAUGCAGCUCUAAGUGGGUGGUAAAUUCCAUCUAAAGCUAAAUAUUGGCGAGAGACCGAUAGCGAACAAGUACAGUGAUGGAAAGAUGAAAAGAACUUUGAAAAGAGAGUGAAAAAGUACGUGAAAUUGUUGAAAGGGAAGGGCUUGAGAUCAGACUCGGGCAACCGGGCCAGCAUGGGGUGGGGGAGUAGGAUAACCCUGCAGGAAAGUGGCUUCGCUUCGGUGGAGUGUUAUAGCCUGUAGCUAUACUGCUACCCUCGCCCGAGGACUGCGGAAACAAGGAUGCUGGCAUAAUGAUCUUAAGCCGCCCGUCUUGAAACACGGACCCAAA